CGAAAAUUACAUUCUCUCAUUCGAUUAAGCAAACUUCCAAGUUAUAUCGAGUUAAAAAUGUUGAUUUACACCGGGGAACCGAUUCAACGUUGGAAUGCUCUCCUAACUUUCCCGCGCUAAGCGGCUUUUGUCCUGCAUAAAUUUAGUGAACGUUGGUCGCGUGCCGCGACGGGACCAAAAGUCAAGCCGCGAAAGAGCCUUUUUUUCUCUCGUUGAGUGGCGCGAGCAAUAACUUCAUCGUAACGUUAUAACGAGCAGGAUGUGAUUAAAGUAAUUACCCGACGCCCCGCGUGUCGAUGAAUUAUUCCCGACGUGUACCGAGAAAAGAAAGCCGUAAAAGAAGGUGAAAAGGGCGGCUGAGUUCAGCAUAUUUACGGGCCAUCAACGGCGCGGGAUUUAAUUGGCCCAAUUAUAUACUUCUGCGUGUCUGUCUAUUUCGACCCGGCUUAGAAUUAGCUCCACGAUACAGUCGUCAUUCCGGCACGACAAUUGCGCGGGCGAAUCGAUUGCUGAAAAAUUGCGAAUUACAACAACAACAAAUACGGAGCUGACUUGUGCGUAAACUCUCGCACAAUUUGUCUGAUUAUUUGAGCAAAAGUGAAUAUAAUUAUAUAGCGUCAAAUUUCAAUAGCGAUCAUACAGUCGCAACGUCAAAUUUGACGGAUUCAGCUUCAAGGACUACAAUUUGCUCGGCCACUUGAGCGAAAAUGUGUGAACGUGAAUACAGUAUUGAAUUGCCAUACGGAAUAUUCAGUCGCGACGUGAAAUUUUGGGCGAAUCCCGUUCACGAUGGUCCACGUGUUCCAAAACCGCGUUUAAUUUCAAUCCUCCCCCCGUCCUUCCCAAUUAGGACGAAAUACAUUUCUUAUAAAAAGGAAUUAAAGAAAAUUCAAUUAAAGAAUUAAAGAAAAUUUAAUGAAUAUUGGUCGACUGACGGCAAAUCAAAUUAUACGAUCGCUCAAUCAUUCGUUCGAAUUUUCGAGGCGCUCAACAAUACGUGUACUUUGCCAAUACCGAUAAUAUCCAUUUAUUCCGGCCGAACCGGCACGUAUAACCGGUGCGUGCAAUGCAAUCGCAACAUUCGACAAAUGCGGGACCCUUUCCGGCGCAACAAGCGGAAACGCGGCGCAGGAAGCCACGAGACUAGCCAAAAGAAAUUUAUGCGCGCACCUGCGGCUCGCGUACGCGCUGUCGUGCGUCGAUUAAUGCGCGUGCAAUUAAGAUCGAGCGAGUGGCAUCCCACACGAUUGCCGUGGCCCUCUCGUCCUCGCGCGCACAGAGCCGAGAGUAGAUCCUCCGCAAGAACACACCGGCCUAACUGACCGUUAAUUGAGCGCGAGAGCAAAAGGACGAAGUGCAAUUAUUCGCGUACGAGAGCUCGAAUCGUCCCGCGCGCGAGAAGGAACAAAAAGUGAAAGCGAAAUCGAGAAAAAGGAUCAAAGGAAGAUAACGGCUUUCCUCGACUGGUUCAAGGAAAACAAGCCACGAAAAUGCGCGCGCAGUUCGGAGUCGAAUCACAAGCUACUUGAAGCGACUUUGUCAUAAGAUAAUACCCACUGAACAGAUCUACUCUACGUUAGCAACAUCUUACAAUAUUCAGCUGUGCCAUCAUUAGCACACUUUUGACUGAUUUAAGGAUAGGAUUAUGAGUAAAACAGACCGAUCUACCAUUGUACGAACGAUCAUGUAAAAUUCUAAAUUAUUAGUCAAAGAAGAUUCAUAAAUGAUCACGCGUCGUACAGUAGAUGAGCUGUGAUGGCGACAUCUGCUACUGUAUUCUUGUACAUUAAGUCAAACUGAACAAAAAAGUUCUCCAUUAUUUUCCAAAUGACCACGUAUAUGUUUAGUUAUUAAUUAAAAAAAGAUUAGUGCAUUAUCGCGCACAACUAUACACCAAUGAUAUAUCGGAAAAAUAUUAGAGAAAUUUUUAGUUUGACCUAAUCCAUUUAUACACAUCGAGACUUCUCCAUGAAUUAUCGGAGAUCCUAUAUAUAUCGGAAAAAAUAAUAAAAAUUAUUUAGCUUAAUUAUUACAGGUGAACUGUGUAUAUAUAUAUAUAUAUAUAUAUCUGCGCCGAUUCGCGGGAUCUUUUCAUUUUUAAUGUGUCCGAAAUCAGCAAGGUGGAGGAUUUAUUACGCGAGCGUGCACAAAAUGUUCGAUAGUCAGCGACGCGUUAUAUAUUUGACGAGCGUAGGAUCGAUCUUCCCUUGAGGAAACUUCAGUACGAGGUCAUCGCAGCUUGUUGCAGCUCUUGAAUUUCUAGCGUUAAAUACGUCAGUAAUUAAGCUCCCCGGUGGAAUUUUCGCUCGCGGAAAAAUCACCUGUAAACACGUCGGAAGAGCCGACUUUAACUGCCGAGUACCCUGUAUAAUUUCAGCUCGCCGGCAUUUUCCGAAUACAGGAUGCUCAUUGCAGCUCGGAGGGUUUUGAUCGCAGCGAGAGACGCGUAAGGAUGCAAAUAAGAAACGGCCACCAAGAGGCGCCACGUAGCGCUCGCUAAUUCCGCGAGUUUAUAAUCUUCCCAUCGUUAUCCGGCGAGUUCAGCAUCGAACACGAGAACGACGUAUAGCAUAAGAGCGAGAGCAUACAAGGCGUCUUGAAAAUUGGAGAUCGAUUUCGUCGACCGGCAUGGACAGAUUAGAAACCGAGAUUCCGUCCUGGCAAAAUUAUACUUAACUUCUGUACACUUCUGUAUAUCGAGAAAAAGAAAAAUAUUUGAAAAUUUACUUGUAAGAUAUAAAAUUUACUUUAUUUCCCUAAAAUAAAGUUUAUUUCUAUGAAUAAAUUUUAUAUUUUACGAAUAUAAAGUUUCAAGAAUACUUUUCUCAGUGUAACUUUCUACGAUUCUCAAUAAAUGACAUCGAUGAUUACGGUAACCGAGACUUCGAUCUUAAAUUACGACAGUACCUUGAUUCGCAUCGCCUCUCUUCAUUGUGAUCAAAUUUGAACUAUAAUUUAUAUCUUUUUUUUGUAAUUGAUUUUUUUAAAUCUGUACAACAUAUCUCCUUCUCGCGACAUGUGGGCCAAAGAGUCUUGUUCCAGUAAAUAAAUAAAUCAAUGAAUAAAUUCGGGAAAAAUCA